rnacentral:lncRNA from 1 species
AUUGCAAUAAAUGUGCCCAGUUUCCUUUCAGUGGAUGGAAAAUCCCACAGCCCUGAAGUUCAUUGUGUUCCAGGUCCUGUGCCGCCUGAGCUCCCUUAAUUGUACUAGACCAGCAGGGGAGACCAGCAGGGCCCCAGGGCUGUGGCUGAGCCCGUCCUGGGGAGCCCUCAGGGUGCCCUGGAAGGAAUGCUGGGCUGGAAGGGAGAAGGCCUGAGCUCAAGUUCUGAUUCUGCUGCUCCCCGACCUGUGUGUCCUUGGGUGGGUCACUUAGCCUAGACAAGCCUCAGUUUCCUCAUGCGUCCAACCAAAGGAGGAUCAGAUGAGGCAAUGCGUCUAAGGGCCCUGAUCAUUCUCCCCUUCCUCUUUAAGGAGGUUCAUGCAGAGAACAGGAUAGACGCCAUGCCACACUGACAGCAGAGCAGUGCUGAGAAGGAUGUCCACUUCUUCCUUCCACCUUUAGAGGACAGAAGAGAUUCCCAAGCAAACAAACACAUUCUUCCUUUGCCUGGGGUAGGGGAUGGAGUCUGAGAGGCCUUGGCUCCUUGGGAGAGAAUCUCUCUUUCCCAGAGGACUGGACUGUAUGUGAGGCUGUGCAUGGUAAGCGCUGCCGCGGGACAGUAAGCCGGCUCCAGAGCAGCAGCUGGGCAGGGCAGGGUCACGGACAGAGGAAAGGGAAGUGGGGAGCCUGCAACGUCCUGCUUAGGGAAGGGCCGUGCUCAGGGGAGGACUCCGCUGCUGAAUUCUGGGAGAAGCGGGGCCACUGUCCUCCAACCAUUCCCUGCCCCGCGGGGCCACGAGUUCUGGCCAGAAGAGCUUGCCACCUUCUCCCAGGCUCAGCAGGGCUAAGGGACAGAUCCACGGGGCUCCCUUGGGAGGAGGAGAGGCCCGCCCCUUGUCUCUGGGGGCAGAGAAUGAUGUAGCGUUUGGGCUCCAUGAAACGCUUCCUAGAGUCAAAUGGGCUCUGCCCUCCCCCCUCCCUCCCCACAGCUCCUUACUUGCCUGCUGGUGGUGGAGAUGCUGCUGUCUGGGGAGAAUGGAUCAGGCUGGCUCCACGGAGGUCCAGCCCUGGCACCCUGCGCCUGGCACUGGGCACCUGGCCCGAAGGGGGGGCUCCUCAGUCUGCCAGAAUGUUCCACCACCCACUCAUUGCCUGCACUGGCAUUUGCUGACUAAUCUCCGGGCCCUGUUCACAUCCAUGGUUCAGUGAGAGCCACUUAGCCUGGAAAUAGCCAGCCACAAAAUGAACCACUUAAAAGAAAAUGCAAGGCUAAGUGAGGCCAGGACCUGGGUCCCUGCUGCUGAGAGAGGCACAGAGUGCAAGGAGGGUCCUGGCUCCAUCUCCUCAAGCAGACCGGACUUAAUCCACCUUGAUGUCCAGAGAAGCCCAGGAUGACAUAAUCCCAAGUCAUUUGCAUUCUGGUACCUUCUGCUAAAGGAAGGGGGGAAGAGGGCCGGCCUCCAGCUUCUCACAGUUAGAAAUUCCUCUUUUGACUUGUGUUUAGGGAGGUUUCAGUCCAGGAGCCUGGGGUUUGGUCUUUCUGGACACUAGCCUGGGAAAAGCAGAAGCCAGUACUCUAUCCACUGUGACACUCAGCUGCUCCCUAGUGCAGCUGGGCCCCUCUUGUGGUCUGCAGGCUGCCCGAGCUGGGAGCUCAGUCAGCCCACAUCCCAUGUCUCUGGCUGUGGGCUCACGCAAGGGAUCAGUGGUCUUUGCCCUCCCUCCCCUGGGCUCCAGCGUUAUCCAGGGGCUUCACAAAAGGAA